UCUGCCUGAGUCACUGAGGCCGUGGGUGCACAACCUUUGCAUUGCUAAUUUCUGCCUGCAAACCUUGAUGCUUCGCAAACUGAGCAGAAAACUUUGAAUGAAAAAAGGACAUAAAAGCAGAACUUCCAACUGCAGGAAUUGGUGACACUGUAGUUUUGUACUUUUGGGCCUCCAGGUCAAAUGCUGGACACAAAAUGAAAUGUGCAGUACUGACAGAGGUCACCAGGGGAAACACAGAGAUGGGAGUGAGGCCUAGAGGGACUGGCAGACUCUGUCUGGGUGGUUUUGCUACUCUGGAGAAGGAAAAAAAAAAUCUUUCACCCCAACUGUGAAGUUAAACCAGAUUUCUGGUAACUUUGUCUCACCAUAGAAGCAUUCUGGUAAA